rnacentral:rRNA from 1 species
GAUGAACGCUGGCGGCGUGCCUAAUACAUGCAAGUCGAGCGAACAGACGAGGAGCUUGCUCCUCUGACGUUAGCGGCGGACGGGUGAGUAACACGUGGAUAACCUACCUAUAAGACUGGGAUAACUUCGGGAAACCGGCGCUAAUACCGGAUAAUAUAUUGAACCGCAUGGUUCAAUAGUGAAAGACGGUUUUGCUGUCACUUAUAGAUGGAUCCGCGCCGCAUUAGCUAGUUGGUAAGGUAACGGCUUACCAAGGCAACGAUGCGUAGCCGACCUGAGAGGGUGAUCGGCCACACUGGAACUGAGACACGGUCCAGACUCCUACGGGAGGCAGCAGUAGGGAAUCUUCCGCAAUGGGCGAAAGCCUGACGGAGUAACGCCGCGUGAGUGAUGAAGGUCUUCGGAUCGUAAAACUCUGUUAUUAGGGAAGAACAAAUGUGUAAGUAACUAUGCACGUCUUGACGGUACCUAAUCAGAAAGCCACGGCUAACUACGUG